GACGAACGCUGGCGGCGUGCCUAACACAUGCAAGUCGAACGGGGGCUUCGGUCCGCCGGCGAGUGGCGAACGGGUGAGUAAUGCAUCGGAACGUGCCCAGUCGUGGGGGAUAACACAUCGAAAGAGUAGCUAAUACCGCAUACGCCCUGAGGGGGAAAGCGGGGGAUCUUCGGACCUCGCGCGAUUGGAGCGGCCGAUGUCGGAUUAGCUAGUUGGUGGGGUAAAAGCCCACCAAGGCGACGAUGCGUAGCUGAGCUGAGAGGCUAAACAGCCACACUGGGACUGAGACACGGCCCACGACUCCUACGGGAGGGCAGCAGUAGGGAAUUUUCGGCAAUGGGGGGAAACCCUGACCGAGCAAUGCCGCGUGAACGAUGAAGGUCUUCGGAUUGUAAAGUUCUGUGAUUGGGGAAGAAUGGUAUUCUUAG
rnacentral:rRNA from 1 species